rnacentral:tmRNA from 1 species
GGGGGCGAUCUGGUCUCGACGCCGGUAGUAAGCCCUGAGGUGCAUGCCGAGAGCGUAACGUAUCUCGUAAAUACCACGUUACUUUAAAAUAGUCGCAAACGACGAAAACUACGCUCAGGGCGCACUGGCAGCUUAAACACUGCUAGUUGUUAGCCUGGCCCGGAAAGGAUGUGCCUGUUCAUCCUGGAUGGGAGAAGAGCUCAGCUGACAGGACCGCGUUUGGCCUUGCCUUCGUGUCAAACGUUAAACAUUAGAGGGAUCGCGUAGCCUUAUCCUGCCCGUCGGAGAAGGUGUCGCUAAAUGAAAAGACGGAUCUAAGCAUGUAGAGCCAAUGGGUAAGCGCCGGCGGACGCGGGUUCAAUUCCCGCCGCCUCCACCA